GCCCUUCGGGGUACUCGAGCGGCGAACGGGUGAGUAACACGUGAGUAACCUGCCCCUGACUCUGGGAUAAGCCUGGGAAACUGGGUCUAAUACCGGAUACGACCAUUUCUCGCAUGGGAUGGUGGUGGAAAGUUUUUUCGGUUGGGGAUGGGCUCGCGGCCUAUCAGCUUGUUGGUGGGGUGAUGGCCUACCAAGGCGACGACGGGUAGCCGGCCUGAGAGGGCGACCGGCCACACUGGGACUGAGACACGGCCCAGACUCCUACGGGAGGCAGCAGUGGGGAAUAUUGCGCAAUGGGCGGAAGCCUGACGCAGCGACGCCGCGUGGGGGAUGACGGCCUUCGGGUUGUAAACCUCUUUCAGCAGGGACGAAGUUGACGUGUACCUGUAGAAGAAGCGCCGGCUAACUACGUGCCAGCAGCCGCGGUAAUACGUAGGGCGCAAGCGUUGUCCGGAAUUAUUGGGCGUAAAGAGCUCGUAGGUGGCUUGUCGCGUCUGCCGUGAAAGCCCGUGGCUUAACUACGGGUCUGCGGUGGAUACGGGCAGGCUAGAGGCUGGUAGGGGCAAGCGGAAUUCCUGGUGUAGCGGUGAAAUGCGCAGAUAUCAGGAGGAACACCGGUGGCGAAGGCGGCUUGCUGGGCCAGUUCUGACGCUGAGGAGCGAAAGCG
rnacentral:rRNA from 1 species